GACGAACGCUGGCGGCGUGCUUAACACAUGCAAGUCGAGCGGUAACAGGUGUAGCAAUACAUGCCGACGAGCGGCGAACGGGUGAGUAAUGCUUCGGAAUCUUCCUAGUAGUGGGGAAUAACCUGGGGAAACUCAGGCUAAUACCGCAUACGAACUACGGUUGAAAGCAGGGGAUCGCAAGACCUUGCGCUAUUAGAUGAGCCGAAGUCGGAUUAGCUAGUUGGUGAGGUAAAGGCUCACCAAGGCGACGAUCCGUAGCUGGUCUGAGAGGACGACCAGCCACACUGGAACUGCGACACGGUCCAGACUCCUACGGGAGGCAGCAGUGGGGAAUAUUGGACAAUGGGGGCAACCCUGAUCCAGCGACGCCGCGUGUGUGAAGAAGGCCUGCGGGUUGUAAAGCACUUUUAGUGGGGACAAAAAGCCGAGGGCUAAUACUCUUCGGUCUUGAUUUAACCCAAAGAAAAAGCACCGGCUAACUCUGUGCCAGCCGCCGCCGUAAAAC
rnacentral:rRNA from 1 species